rnacentral:rRNA from 1 species
UACGUAGGGGUCGAGCGUUGUCCGGAAUUACUGGGCGUAAAGCGUGUGCAGGCGGCUCAUUGCGCCCGGCGUGAAAGCCCCCGGCUCAACCGGGGAGGGUCGUCGGGGACGGGUGAGCUUGAGGGUAUCAGGGGCAGGUAGAAUUCCCGGUGUAGUGGUGAAAUGCGUAGAGAUCGGGAGGAAUACCCGUGGCGAAGGCGGCCUGACUGGGAUACACCUGACGCUGAGACACGAAGGCGUGGGGAGCGAACGGG